GACGAACCGUGCGAACGUUGUUCGGAAUCACUGGGCUUAAAGGGCGCGUAGGCGGCCCGCCGCGUCCGGGGUGAAAUCCUCCCGCUCAACGGGAGAACGGCCUCGGAUACGGGCGGGCUGGAGGGGGGUAGGGGCGGGCGGAACUGUGGGUGGAGCGGUGAAAUGCGCAGAUAUCAGGAGGAACACCGGUGGCGAAGGCGGGUCUCUGGGCAGUAACUGACGCUGAGGAGCGAAAGCGUGGGGAGCGAACAGG
rnacentral:rRNA from 1 species